CCGGCCCGGCGGCGGCCCGCAGGCCUUCGGGAUCCGCCUGAGCACGAUAAUGCUGUAGAUCCAGAUGUAUCUGCCAGGACGGUCUUUAUAGAUGUUGAGGAGGUCAAGAAUAAAUCUUGUUUGACCUUUACCGAUGAUGGAUGUGGGAUGACACCUCAUAAACUACACCGAAUGCUCAGCUUUGGCUUUACAGAUAAAGUAAUAAAGAAGAGCCAGUGUCCCAUUGGGGUCUUUGGUAAUGGUUUCAAGUCAGGCUCCAUGCGGCUAGGAAAGGACGCCCUUGUCUUCACCAAGAAUGGGGGUACUCUCACUGUUGGACUUCUAUCACAGACCUAUCUGGAAUGUGUCCAGGCCCAGGCAGUUAUUGUACCAAUUGUUCCAUUCAACCAGCAAAACAA
rnacentral:lncRNA from 1 species